AUUUUUAGGUGUACAGUUCAGUAGCAUUAGGUACAUUCACAUUGCUGUGCGAUUAUUACCACAAUUCAUCUCUAAACCAUUUCCAUCUUGCAAAGCAGACUCCUCUGUACACCUUUAACAGUAACUCCCAUUGUCCCUUUCCCUUAGCUCCUGGCAACCAUCACUCUACCUGAUGUCUCUAUAAUCUGACUGCUCUAGGUACCUCAGAUGAAUGGAAUUAUGCAGUAUUUGUCCUUUUGUGUGUACAACUAAUUUGACAGGCAGUAUGAUAAGGAACAAUCUGUAUGACAUGUAAACAGGAGGGGGUAAAUUCCAAGCACAGCCUGAAUGAGAAGUACAACUCAUUUCCCAUAACCCAGAUGCGUUUUGAACACAUCUAUGCAGUCUCCAUGUAAAACCAGGUGCUGGUCCCAAAGGAGAAAACACUGCCCUCCAGUGGUCUUCAAUGAAGAAAUGAAAAUAGUUUCAGGUGGAAACCAGGCUUCUUGGAAGACUUCAAACUAUGCCAAAUGGUCUGAUUUCACCAUAGAGGUAGGCACUAGAGGACUAAAUUUACUUCUGUGUAAUUUUUGUUAGCUGCAUUUUACAUGCAAAUGUCUAUACAACCAUGUUAAUGAAGUUAUAGAGAAGAAAAGAAAGUUGGCAUUCCCGCUUUUGUUUUAUUCCAAAGCAACUUUUCAAUUGAGUUACUAUCAUUUUAAGCCAUUGUUAUUUAAUUAUAAGAAAACAGAAAAGUGUAACAAUGCAUUCAAAUUGGAUUGCAAGUCAAGAAAAGCAAUAUCUUACUUCUAAAUAAAAUUUAGAUUUGACACUUUUUUCUCUCAUACCUUUAUGGCAUUCACAACAU